GAUGAACGCUGGCGGCGUGCCUAAUACAUGCAAGUCGAGCGAACAGACGAGGAUCUUGCUCCUUUCACGUUAGGCGCGGGCGGGUGAGAAACACGUGGAUCCCCUCCCUAUCAGACUGGGAUAAUUUCGGGAAACCGGCGCUUAUACCGGAUAAUAUAUUGCACCGCGUUGUUCAAUAGUAAAAGUCGGUUUUGCUGGCAGUUCUCGAUGGAUCCGCGCCGCAUUGGCUAGUUGGUAGGGUAACGGCUUAUCAAGGCGACGAUGCGUAGCCGAGCUGAGAGAGUGAUCGGCCACACUGGAACUGAGACAGCGUCCAGACUCCUACGGGACGGAGCAGUAGGGUAUGGGCCGCAAUGGGCGAAAGCCUGACGGAGCAACGCCGCGUGAGUGACGAAGGUCUUCGGAUCGUGAAGCUCUGUUAUUAGGGAUGAACAAAUGUGUAAGUAAAUGUGCACGUCUUGACGGUACCUGAUCAGAAAGCAACGGCUAACUACGUG
rnacentral:rRNA from 1 species